rnacentral:rRNA from 1 species
CUGUGACCCCUGGUCAGGCGGGACUACCCGCUGAGUUUAAUCAUAUCAA